GUGUCAGAGAUCACCUAGCUCUAGACUUGCUGUUACAGAAGAGAAAGGGACUCACCUCUUGUUUACGCUUCUCUUACUUUAGUUUUCUGUUAUAUUCAACCAGACUUGCUUGCUGACGGACCCUGGCAGUGCGUUGUUCGGGAUGUGUUCGGAUGCAAGGAAACAUGACGUCCACUCAGUUCUGUCCCAGAUGCACCGAAGAAUUCGAGACCGGAGCCCAGAAUGGGGAGGGAGAGUUGACUGAGUAGAGGGAGAACUCGACACCAAUGUCCUGUUCGACAGAGACCGCAGCAACCUGUAUGCCUUGCGGACGGCAGAGGGGAGCUUCGGAAAAUUCAUUCCACGUGUGACGGGAGACCCCCAACUGGGGGAAUGGACGCGAGAACUGGAAGAUGCACUCCCCGAAGACCUGGGCGCCUGCUGCUGUCUCCCUCUGACGUCCGUGGCACGAGGCUUUGUCACGCGUGGCCACGGCCUGGCUGACACGGAGCGCCAGUGCCCAGACGCUGCGAAGAGAAAGAGACAGAGUGCAAGCAGGGGAGGGGCAGAGAGAGAGGGAGACGCAGGAUCGGAAGCGGGCUCCAGGCUCCGAGCCGUCAGCACAGAGCCCGAUGCGGGACUUGAACCCACGAACCGGGAGAUCCUGACCAGAGCUGAAGUCGGACGCCCAACCGACCGGGCCACCCAGAUUGCGGAGCGCCGGCUCUGUGUCAGGCCCGAUAGAGACUGCGCUGGGGACACGGUGAUAAAUAAAACACGACCCUGGCCCUUGGAAUUCUCCGGUAGGAGUUAGAGCUUGAAAAAGAAAGAAACUCGAAGAUUAAGAACAGAAAUGUAAGCCAGAGGAAGACACAGAAGCAAUGCGAAUGCAGGAAAGAAAUGGCAUAAAAAGGCAAAACCACCUCAAAAUAAAAGAUAAAUAAAUCAUAACAUGCCCAAGGGAAAAAGAGCCAAAUUAAAUUUUAAUAAGGGGCCUUGAAGACAAGGCACAAAAGUAGCCAAGAGAAUGAAAUUGAGUUAAAGAAGGAAGUAAAAACAGAGCAGAGAGCAAGUUAUUGAAAUGGAAGUCAGUACGAGUCCCAGAAGAAGAAACACAGCUGAACAGCAUUAAUAUUCAAGACCUUAACCCAAGAAAACUUUGCGGAUGUGAGAGAAAACUCACACCUGUGCACUGAAAGGCACUACUGCGUGCUCUGGAAAUUUUACCCGGAGUGGUCAAGUCCAAGACCACUAUUAAAUAAUAGUAUCAAAUUAGUAUUUACUUAGUAUUAAAUUUAGUAUUUAAUUGGUAUUAAUAUUAAAAAAUAGUAUUAAAUUAAAAUAACUUAAUUAUUAUUAAAUAAAUAAUAAUAAUAUUAAUAAUGGUCCAAGACCAUGAUUAAAACCAUUAGGAUUUAAAGACCAAGAAAAAUAAUCCUCGGGGUCUCCAAUCAGCAAGAUCGGAUUAUUCACAGGGUAACAAACCAGGCAGGCAAGACACUUCUCAAGGGGAAACGUACAAGAAAGGUAAGCGUGGAGCCAUAUUUUCAGGAAACUCAAGGAAAAGUAGAAGGAGCCACAAGUUUUAGACCCGGUCCCGCUGUCAAGGUGUAUAAGAGGACAGAUUUGAAUAUUCAGGAUCUCGGGGGACACUGUGCACCCACAUCCUUCCCAGGGAAGCAGCAACUGUUGGAAAGAUAACCUGGCAAAUUUCAUCCGAAGGAUCAAUGAGCCGGGAAGAAAAGGCAACCUAAAACCAAAUGGGAAAAUGAAAACAAUGAGUCUAUUUCAAACGAAUAAACACACUGAGGGGGGGAGACAGAACCAACGCAGGUCAACGUUGAAGUCAAUGCCGUGGCUGUGGCUGUGGACCCUCGGUCCAGACAAGCAAAGGGACAGUAAGCCUGGACUCCACCAGGAUCGUCUCGGCACGCUGGCUGUGGGGGGUCUGAAACCACACGUCUGUUGCAGCACAGAGCGAGUGAACACCGUGGGGACUUUGCGGGGACCCAGUUCUUGCCGUGGAAGUAGGGAGAUGCAGAACAGGGAAAGAAAGAGAUUAAUACCCCGUGUAAAUAGGUACAUAUUUCCAAGGUCUGUCCGCGGACAGGACCCAGGAGUAUGGUCCCCAAGUGUCAUUCCCACUAGAUGGAAGUAGGUCUCUUGGACGGUGCUUGGCUCAAGGGCAAGAAGAGAAUGGGCAACAUGGUUCUGAGAUACCUUGUGCCAGAAAGUUCCAAUGAAUAAAUGAGUGACAUGAUGGUGGCUGGUCACUAGGAGGAAGGAACAGGCUUGCAGGGGACCCCACUGGCCAAAGCUGGAAUAAGGUGAGCACCAAACUUUGAGCACAAGAGAAGUGGGACCGCUGAAUGAUGGCCUCCACAGACACGGGGUUCCUAAGCCCUACUGCCUAUGAGCGUCACUUUGUAUGGUGGAAGGGAUUGGCAGAUGUGAUUAAAGGGCAGAGAGAUCUGAACACGGAGAAGAAGUAGGCCAUCUAUGGACCAGAGCCGGGUGCCGCCCUGCUGGCUCUGAAGGUGGAGGACGGGGACAGAAGUGGGCGAAUGUGAGGAACUGGGCUCUGGAAGCCAGAAAGGGUAAGGAAGGGCCGUCCCCCGGGGGCCUCCAGGUGGCCUGUGGCCCCACCACCACCUUCACUGGGGCUCGGAGAACCGACCAGGGACUUCCGACCUGCGGAACCGUAAGAGAACAGAUGCGGUCGUUUGUUACAGCAGCCACGGGAGACUGAUACGGUCGGCGGUGGAUUAUGAGUCAGCAAUGCCAUGGGAACCCCUGAAUCCAUUCGGUAGGUGGAUGGGGGAAGAGAGAGGGCGGGGAUAGGCAACAAGUGAGCGGAGAAACGGACGCGGGAAGGGAGGAGAGGGCUGUCCCUUCGGGUGGAGAGCUAUCUGGCCAGGGUACAAGACGUGUGAGCGU